GAUGAACGCUGGCGGCGUGCCUAAUACAUGCAAGUCGAGCGAACAGACGAGGAGCUUGCUCCUCUGAUGUUAGCGGCGGACGGGUGAGUAACACGUGGAUAACCUACCUAUAAGACUGGGAUAACUUCGGGAAACCGGAGCUAAUACCGGAUAACAUGUUGAACCGCAUGGUUCAACAGUGAAAGACGGUCUUGCUGUCACUUAUAGAUGGAUCCGCGCCGCAUUAGCUAGUUGGUAAGGUAACGGCUUACCAAGGCAACGAUGCGUAGCCGACCUGAGAGGGUGAUCGGCCACACUGGAACUGAGACACGGUCCAGACUCCUACGGGAGGCAGCAGUAGGGAAUCUUCCGCAAGGGGCGAAAGCCUGACGGAGCAACGCCGCGUGAGUGAAGAAGGUCUUCGGAUCGUAAAACUCUGUUAUUAGGGAAGAAAAAAUGUGUAAGUAACUAUGCACGUCUUGACGGUACCUAAUCAGAAAGCCACGGCUAACUACGUG
rnacentral:rRNA from 1 species